rnacentral:rRNA from 1 species
GACGAACGCUGGCGGCGUGCUUAACACAUGCAAGUCGAACAGAAAGGCCCUGCUUUUGUGGGGUGCUCGAGUGGCGAACGGGUGAGUAACACGUGAGUAACCUGCCCUUGACUUUGGGAUAACUUCAGGAAACUGGGGCUAAUACCGGAUAGGAGCUCCUGCUGCAUGGUGGGGGUUGGAAAGUUUCGGCGGUUGGGGAUGGACUCGCGGCUUAUCAGCUUGUUGGUGGGGUAGUGGCUUACCAAGGCUUUGACGGGUAGCCGGCCUGAGAGGGUGACCGGCCACAUUGGGACUGAGAUACGGCCCAGACUCCUACGGGAGGCAGCAGUGGGGAAUAUUGCACAAUGGGCGGAAGCCUGAUGCAGCAACGCCGCGUGCGGGAUGAUGGCCUUCGGGUUGUAAACCGCUUUCGCCUGUGACGAAGCGUGAGUGACGGUAAUGGGUAAAGAAGCACCGGCUAACUACGUG